AGAUCUGUCACUGCAGACAGUCAGUAGUUGGUCUGGCAUAAGCAGAAAGUUUCAGAUCACCUCUUGGCUGUGAGUAGUGUGGAGCCCUGCCCUAU
rnacentral:pre_miRNA from 11 species